UAUAAAUCCUGAGUCGCCGGGUAAUGACGGUCUUCCUGGAGACGGUGCCAUCUUUCGAAGACAUUCCCUCUUCGAUAUGAGAGCUAAGUGGAGAAAGAAGCGUAUGCGCAGACUGAAGCGCAAAAGGCGGAAGAUGAGGCAGAGGUCCAAGUAAACUGCCUUCAUCCCAGGCUGUGACCUGACUUCAGAACCACAGCCGCAGUCCAAAGGAUUGUCUGAGUACAGCGUCCGCAGACCAGAUGCCACCCGAACCAUUGGUGUGCUCCCAAGACCUGAGCCUUGACCUACCAACCCAGAGGCUUCAGAUUGGCUUUUUUUAAAAGACUACCUGGACAAUGACUUUCCUUGGACGUUUUCCAACCUCAACUCUCCCAACUCCAAUACCUUUGUUUAUACUUUCCCAAUAAAGUUUUUGGUUUAAAAAAA